rnacentral:tRNA from 1 species
GAGGGUGUAGCUCAAGUGGUAGAGCGCACGCUUAGCAUGUGUGAGGUCCUGGGUUCGAUCCCCAGCGCCUCCC